AGUAACACGUAGGUAACCUGCCCAUGUGCCCGGGAUAACUUCUGGAAACGGAUGCUAAAACCGGAUAGGUAGCAGACAAGCAUUUGACUGCUAUUAAAGUGGCUAAGGCCAUGAACAUGGAUGGACCUGCGGUGCAUUAGCUAGUUGGUGAGGUAACGGCCCACCAAGGCGACGAUGCAUAGCCGGCCUGAGAGGGCGGACGGCCACAUUGGGACUGGGACACGGCCCAAACUCCUACGGGAGGCAGCAUG
rnacentral:rRNA from 1 species